rnacentral:rRNA from 1 species
AUUGAACGCUGGCGGCAGGCCUAACACAUGCAAGUCGAGCGGAUCGGCGGACGGGUGCGUAAUGGCUAUGUAUCUGCCACUUAGUGAUGGAGAACGACCGCAAAUGGGCGCUGUUACUGAUUCCUCUCAGCUGAGCCUAGGCCGGAUUAGCAAGUUGGUGGGGUAGAGGCAUACCAAGGCGACGAUCCGUAGCUGGUCUGAGAGGAUGAUCAGUCACACUGGAACUGAGACACGGUCCAGACUCCUACGGGAGGCAGCAGUGGGGAAUAUUGGACAAUGGGCGAAAGCCUGAUGCAGCCAUGCCGCGUGUGUGAAGAAGGUCUUCGGAUUGUAAAGCACUUUAAGUGGGGAGGCGUUACCAGCAGAAUAAGCACCGGCUAACUUCGUGCCAGCAGCCGCGGUAAUUC